AGCAGCCGCGGUAAUUCCAGCUCCAAUAGCGUAUAUUAAAGUUGUUGCAGUUAAAAAGCUCGUAGUUGAAUUUCGGGGUUAGUAGGUUGGUCAUGCCUCUGGUAUGUACUGGUCUCACUGAUUCCUCCUUCCUUAUGAACCGUAAUGCCAUUAAUUUGGUGUUGCGGGGAAUUUGGACUGUUACUUUGAAAAAAUUAGAGUGUUUAAAGCAAGCUAACGCUUGAAUACAUUAGCAUGGAAUAAUGAAAUAGGACGUUCGAUCUUAUUUUGUUGGUUUCUAGGAUUGACGUAAUGAUUAAUAGGGAUAGUUGGGGGCAUUAGUAUUCAAUUGCCAGAGGUGAAAUUCUUGGAUUUAUUGAAGACUAACUACUGCGAAAGCAUUUGUCAAGGAUGUUUUCAUUAAUCAAGAACGAAAGUUAGGGGAUCGAAGACGAUCAGAUACUGUCGUAGUCUUAACCAUAAACUAUGCCGACUAGGGAUCGGAUGAUGUUAAUUUUUAAUGACUCAUUCGGCGCCUUAC
rnacentral:rRNA from 1 species